rnacentral:rRNA from 1 species
GACGAACGCUGGCGGCGUGCCUAAUACAUGCAAGUAGAACGCUGAAGGAGGAGCUUGCUUCUCUGGAUGAGUUGCGAACGGGUGAGUAACGCGUAGGUAACCUGCCUGGUAGCGGGGGAUAACUAUUGGAAACGAUAGCUAAUACCGCAUAAGAGUAGAUGUCGCAUGACAUUUGCUUAAAAGGUGCAAUUGCAUCACUACCAGAUGGACCUGCGUUGUAUUAGCUAGUUGGUGAGGUAACGGCUCACCAAGGCAACGAUACAUAGCCGACCUGAGAGGGGGAUCGGCCACACGGGGACUGAGACACGGCCCAGACUCCUACGGGAGGCAGCAGUAGGGAAUCUUCGGCAAUGGACGGAAGUCUGACCGAGCAACGCCGCGUGAGGGAAGAAGGUUUUCGGAUCGUAAAGCUCUGUUGUAAGGGAAGAACGGGUGUGGGAGGGGAAAGUUCACCCUGUGACGGUAUUUUACCAAAAAGGGACGGCUAACUACGU